rnacentral:lncRNA from 1 species
GUGGUCUGGUGGUUAUUGUGUUCGACUGCUGACCCGCAGGUCGCGGGAUCGAAUCCCGGCCGCGGUGGCGGCAUUUUCGAUGGAGGCGAAAAUGCUAGAGGCCUGUGCGCUUAGAUUUUGGGUGGACGUUAAAGAAACCAAGGUCGUAGAAAUCAAUCCGGAGUCCCUCUCUACGGCUUGCCUCAUAAUCAUAUCGUGGUUUUGGCACGUAAAACC